UACGAAGGGGGCUAGCGUUGCUCGGAAUCACUGGGCGUAAAGCGCACGUAGGCGGAUUGCUAAGUCGAACGUGAAAUCCCCGGGCUCAACCCGGGAACUGCGUCCGAUACUGGCAGGCUUGAAUUCGGGAGAGGGAUGCGGAAUUCCAGGUGUAGCGGUGAAAUGCGUAGAUAUCUGGAGGAACACCGGUGGCGAAGGCGGCAUCCUGGACCGAGAUUGACGCUGAGGCGCGAAAGCCAGGGGAGCAAACAGGG
rnacentral:rRNA from 1 species